AAAAAACCGGUUCCCAUGCGAUCACUGAAAUUAAGCAAUGUUGGGCCUGGUCAUUACCUAGAUAUGUUACCACUUGGGAAUACCAAGUGCUGUAAU